GUGGCGUAGGCGACCGGGGUGGCGGCGGCGACGCCGGGGGUGUCGCGCAGGGUGGUGUCGAGGUUGUCCAGGGCGAUCCGGUCGGCCGCGCCGUCC
rnacentral:tRNA from 1 species